rnacentral:rRNA from 1 species
GACGAACGCUGGCGGCGCGCCUAACACACGCAAGUCGCACGGUGAGACGGGCUUCGGCCCGAGGAUCAGUGGCGAACGGGUGCGUAACACGUGGGCAACCUGCCCCUCACACUGGGAUAACCCCGGGAAACCGGAGCUACUACCGGAUACUCCGACCGAACCACAUGGCUCGCUCGGGAAAGGUCCGCCGGUGAGGGAUGGGCCCGCGGCCUAUCAGCUUGUUGGUGAGGUAACGGCUCACCAAGGCGACGACGGGUAGCUGGUCUGAGAGGACGACCAGCCACACUGGGACUGGGAUACGGCCCAGACUCCUACGGGAGGCAGCAGUGGGGAAUCUUGCGCAAUGGGCGAAAGCCUGACGCAGCGACGCCGCGUGGGGGAUGAAGGCCCUCGGGUUGUAAACCCCUUUCGGCAGGGACGAAGCGAUCGUGACGGUACCUGCAGAAGAAGCCUCGGCUAACUACGUGCCAGCCGCCGCCGUAA